GGCGGUGGUCAGAAUUAGAAAGAGAGAGCCGGAAGGGACCUUCAUUUUGCAGACCCAAACCUUCAUUCUACAGAUGAGCAAACAGAUGCCCAGACAGGAGACGUGACUCCCCCAAGGUCACACUGGUACUGCUCGGCGAGCGGAGAUGACUCUUCACCCCUUGGCGUUCUCCGCUCUGCGUGGGAGCUGCCAGCCCCGAAGGAGCCGGCUGCCCGCGGGCGCUGCAGCCUUGAGCCGCCAAGGCUGCCGUUUGCCAAGCCCCUCACUGCCCCGAGUUUUCUCCUUCUUUGCGCCUGUUCCAUCGGAGAAAGGAUCUAGAUUUUGGAGGUUCUUACAAAGCCCUCAAGGUGAUUCUGAUGUGCAUUCAAGUUCGAGAGCCUCGGGACUAUAGGGUCCAGCCCUAAGAUCCUCUACUUUUUAGGUUGUGUGCAUCAGAGGAGCAAGAUGAAGGAACUGGUAACCCUGGGACAGAGGUCGUGCUGUCAUCUCAAUUUUACAGAAGAAACUGAGGUUCAAGAGAUGGAAGGAAAUGACUUGAUUGGGCUCAUCCACGAAGAGGCAGAGCUCAGUCUGGACCCAGGCCUGGCCUGUAGUGCUCCGGGCCAUGCCAGUCAGCUAGACCACGUGCACACAACGGGGUUGUUCAGGCCUGAAUCACAGACACAUGUUCUGGUUAACAGUCUCACUUUUGCAGAGGGCCCCCUUCCCAUAGGAUUCUUAUGAAAAUACAAUGAGAACACAGAUGUGUAAAAGGGUGAAAGGAAAGACAUGAUGCCAAGUACUGCAGACAACUGGUUAACAUAGUAGAUCCACGUGAAACUCUCCUUAGCUGCCCUGCUCUUCCCUGCUUCCCCAUUGCCUGCACGCAGGUCUCAGACUCACGCCUUUCAUGUACUGCCAUGAUAAUCUUCACCAUAUAGAUGACCUGCGCUCAUUAAUAUUAAAUAAUUGAACUUUACUUAGAAUGCACUUAUGUGGUUCAAAAUGCAGACGUUAUAAAAGGGUAUACAGCAAAAUCUCUCCCACCCACCCUGUCAAUCAGGUCACUUCCCCAGAGAUGGCCAUCAUUGCUACAGUCUGUAUGUUUGUGUCCUCCUAAAAUUCAUAUGUUGGAAUCCUAACCCCCAUGUCAUGGGUUAAAAGGGGGGCCUUCAGGAGGUAAUUAGGUCGUGAGGGUGGAGCCCCCAUGGAUGGGAUUAGUGCCCUUAUAAAACAGACCCCAGAGAGUUCCGUUCCCCCCUCCAUAAUAUGAAGACACGUGGAAAAGGCUUCAGCUGUGAACCAUGAAGAGAGUUUUCUCCAGAAUGUGGCCAUGCCGGUACUUUGAUCUUGGACUUCUCAACCUCCAGAA